UAAGGAAUAUUGGUCAAUGGGCGGAAGCCUGAACCAGCCAUGCCGCGUGCAGGAAGACGGCCCUAUGGGUUGUAAACUGCUUUUAUACUGGAAUAAACCUUGAUUCGUGAAUCAAGCUGAAUGUACAGUAAGAAUAAGGAUCGGCUAACUCCGUGCCAGCAGCCGCGGUAAUACGGAGGAUCCAAGCGUUAUCCGGAUUUAUUGGGUUUAAAGGGUGCGUAGGUGGUUCUUUAAGUCAGGGGUGAAAGACGGCAGCUUAACUGUCGCAGUGCCUUUGAUACUGAAGAACUUGAAUGAACUAGAGGUAGGCGGAAUGUGACAAGUAGCGGUGAAAUGCAUAGAUAUGUCACAGAACACCAAUUGCGAAGGCAGCUUACUAUGGUUUGAUUGACACUGAGGCACGAAAGCGUGGGGAUCAAACA
rnacentral:rRNA from 1 species